UAGUGCAGAAGCCUCUCAGUCUAGACAAGACAUCAAAGAAGGAUGAUCAAGAGCAUCCCUGCUACUUGGGUAACACGAACCAGCAAACAGUGUGGGUAUUAAAAAUAUCAGUGCUGCCGGCUCCCGAGGGUGCCAGCGCGGCCCCGGGGAGCGCGAGGAGCCGGCGAAGCGCGCGGCCUGCCGUUGGCGGCCUGGUCCGCAGCGCUCUGCGCCCACCCGCCCCGGACGUGGGGCCCAAGCCCCCGUGAAGAUGGUGUCCUGGAUGAUCUCCAGAGCCGUGGUGCUGGUGUUUGGAAUGCUUUAUCCUGCAUAUUAUUCAUACAAAGCUGUGAAAACAAAAAACGUGAAGGAAUGUGUUCGAUGGAUGAUGUACUGGAUUGUUUUUGCUCUCUAUACUGUGAUUGAAACAGUAGCAGGUCAAACAGUUGCUUGGUUUCCCCUGUACUAUGAGCUGAAGAUUGCUUUUGUCAUAUGGCUGCUUUCUCCCUAUACCAAAGGAGCAAGUUUAAUAUAUAGAAAAUUCCUUCAUCCACUUCUUUCUUCAAAGGAAAGGGAGAUUGAUGAUUAUAUUGUACAAGCAAAGGAACGAGGCUAUGAAACCAUGGUAAACUUUGGACGGCAAGGUUUAAACCUUGCAGGUACUGCUGCUGUUACUGCAGCAGUAAAGAGCCAAGGAGCAAUAACUGAACGUUUAAGAAGCUUCAGUAUGCAUGAUUUAACAGCUAUCCAAGGUGAUGAGCCUGUGGGACAAAGACCAUACCAACCUCUACCAGAAGCAAAAAAGAAAAGUAAACCAGCCCCUGGUGAAUCAGCAGGUUAUGGAAUUCCACUGAAAGAUGGAGAUGAGAAAACAGAUGAGGAAGCGGAGGGGCCAUAUUCAGAUGAUGAGAUGUUAACACACAAAGGACUUCGAAGAUCACAAAGCAUGAAAUCUGUGAAAACCACCAAAGGCCGCAAAGAGGUACGGUACGGGCCACUGAAAUAUAAAGUGAAGAAGCGACCACAAGUGUAUGUUUAGUCAUCUACACUUCAAAUGUCCUAAGACAGAUUAUGCUAAAUACAUUGACUUCAUCUUCUAACAUGAUAUAUUCAGGAUUUACACAUUAAAAUGAUUAUUUAAAUUGUG